GCCUGUGUGCCGGAGCGGUUAACGGAAUGGUCUCGAAAACCAUGCCCUUGUGGCCCCCAAGUUCGAAUCUUGGCGCAGGCG
rnacentral:tRNA from 1 species